CCAUAUGAGGGCCCCACCACCACCACCACCACAAAAGCUCAUGGAUGAGACGCUACAAGAAGGUUUAGAGGUGAAAUGGUGGGAUUACGAGAGCCUCAACCUGAUCCGUGAAUGAAUCCACUGAUACGGAGUCACUGGCUGGAGGAGAUUCAUUCGACUGUAAACUCCUACAAUAUGCCACCUGCAUGCCACCUGCCUAGUUGGCUAGCCAAGCCUCAGAAAGCAUGUGAAAAGAAGAAUUGCUCGAAUCAGGGUUUCUGUCGACCCCCCCUGCCAAGAUGCUGCCAAUCUGAUUGAAGAGAGAAGCUCUUUGAAUCAUCUCCAAGAUCCACUUGCCACAAAAUGGAUGUUUGUGGGGCGGAGGGGAACACUUCAUAUCCAAACCAGAUCCCUGAGGCCUCUACAAUUCAUUUGGAAGGAAAUGGAAAGAGAGCUGGCUGAGGAGAUCGAAGCUCGGUCAGACUUGAGUUCUCGAAGUUCGUGAGCUUGUGGGAUCUGGUUCAGUCUCCAACAUUGCUGCGCAGAUGGGGCAGAAAUAUUGCCUCCUGUAUGGAUGAAGAGAAUCGGACACGGAUUCAGGUCCCCAGAGACGCACAGGUGGUGAGCUGGGACGUUCCCCUCUGGUUUUUAGAUACCCCUGUGUGACAUGAUCAGAGCAGGUGACACUGGGAGAUGGAUACGGUGUUGCACCUUCUCGGGGACAGAAAGAGCAGGCUUCUCUACUUGACAGACAUUUCUGGGGUGCCUUGUAACGUCCCAGCAGUUUACAUCGCGUUCAAGCUGGGUGAGUCUUAACAGUACUGAAAAUGACCUAAUUAGGGGUAUGCCACAAUGUCAGUCAGGACUCUCUCUGAUUCUCCUCCUCUGCAACCCAUUUAUAAUACAGGGAGGGAAACCCGUCCUGAGCGGCUUGGUUUUGUGAUGGCACCUAUUUUACAUAAAGCUGCCCUGGUGUCAGACACUAAGCCCCUUGAAUAAAACUGCUCCCACUCCACCUGAUUCCUGGCUCCGUUUUUGAGUCAUCGCUACCCUGGGAUACAAACAUGGACCCUUUCGCCUGAGAAAAUUGGGAAGACUUCUUAAAAAUGCUUGUGUUCAAAGGUGGGGUUUUAUAGUUUUUCUGUCGAUGCUAAAAGUCUUCCCCAUCAGAUUUCCAGCCAGGCACACACCUGGAAUCCCAGCAACUAAGGAGGCUGUGGUAGGAGGAUCUCAAAUUUGAGGCCA